UGCCUAGGAAUCUGCCUGGUAGUGGGGGACGAACGUUUCGAAAGGAACGCUAAUACCGCAUACGUCCUACGGGAGAAAGCAGGGACCUUCGGGCCUUGCGCUAUCAGAUGAGCCUAGGUCGGAUUAGCUAGUUGGUGAGGUAAUGGCUCACCAAGGCGACGAUCCGUAACUGGUCUGAGAGGAUGAUCAGUCACACUGGAACUGAGACACGGUCCAGAUCCUACGGGAGGCAGCAG
rnacentral:rRNA from 1 species